rnacentral:rRNA from 1 species
GAUGAACGCUGGCGGCGUGCCUAAUACAUGCAAGUCGAGCGAACAGACGAGAAGCUUGCUCCCCUGCCGUUAGCGGGUGGCGGGUGGGUAAGACAUGCAUAGCCUACUUCUAAGUCUGGGGUGAUUUCGGAAAACCGCUGACACUACUGGCUCAUAUAUUCAACGGCUGGAUUCAAUGGUGAAUGGCGCUUUUCCUGUUUCUAUUAGCUGAUUCCGCGUCGCAUUAGCUAGUUGGUAAGGUAACGGCUUACCAAGGCGACGAUGCGUAGCCGACCUGAGAGGAUGAUCGGCCACACUGGAACUGAGACACGGUCCAGACUCCUACGGGAGGCAGCAGUAGGGAAUCUUCGACAAUGGGCGAAAGCCUGACGGAGCAACGCCGCGUGAGUGAUGAAGGUCUUCGGAUCGUAAAGCUCUGUUAUUAGGGAAGAACAAAUGUGUAUGUAUCUAUGCACGUCUUGACGGUACCUAAUCAGAAAGCCACGGCUAACUACGUG